ACUGACAGAGUCUAGAUUUGUUAAUCAAGGGCCGUAACGCUGGCCAAAUGGGCCCAACUCGAAUGAUAUGAUAAUAUGUGUAUUACCAACCUAUAACAAAGACUUGUACCAAGUUUAACAAACUUCCUCGUAAAAAUGU